UACGUAGGGUGCAAGCGUUAAUCGGAAUUACUGGGCGUAAAGCGUGCGCAGGCGGUUUCGUAAGUCUGUCGUGAAAUCCCCGGGCUUAACCUGGGAAUGGCGAUGGAGACUGCGAGGCUAGAGUUUGGCAGAGGGCGGUAGAAUUCCACGUGUAGCAGUGAAAUGCGUAGAGAUGUGGAGGAACACCGAUGGCGAAGGCAGCCCCCUGGGUCAAAACUGACGCUCAUGCACGAAAGCGUGGGGAGCAAACAGG
rnacentral:rRNA from 1 species